CUAAUACAGCCCGUACGUAUGUAUAUGGUAUACAUAGAGGGACAUAUCGAAUAUCUGAGAAUAGAUAGUGGCCUUAGAUAAGUUAACGUAUCUUAACAGAGAUUUCGACUCCGCAACUAGAAUUUAGAGAUAUCCCUCCCGGUGGCAGGCCCCCAACAAGACCCAACCAAAAUCGUAAGUCAAUCGGUGGCGGCUACUUAACCUAGUACACGGCUCCUCCUCUUGGACAAACAUCCGAGUGGGCCUGGGAAUUUGCUUAACCGAUAAUGGGGGAACUCUAUCUGUGACGUCGCCGAUUCCUUUCGAGGCGCGGGAUUGGGGAUGGGUUGGGGACAAGGGGACGAGGUUGACCCAGCUAGAUAAAAGUAUCUAAUCUUGGCUUUUUAGCGAUACACGACCACCAAUGCAGCCGUAUUUAUAAGAUAAUGAAGAUUUCCUAUCAAUUGGACGCGGUGCUUGUUGUUAGUUGUUGCAGUCGUUCCUGCUGUUGUUGUUGGUAGGAUAUCGGUAUCAGUUUGGGGUAUCUGCAGCCAGUUAAGGUUCCAUUUCCAGUUUGGGUCGGGGUUCUGGGGCUGGUUUGGGUUCUGGGCCUGGGCAUGGCUCUCUCUCGCGGUCUGUAUCAGUAUAUCAGUGUUUGAACUGAUAAUGUCCCAAGAUAAUAAGCGAUAAUAAUUUGAAUUUUUCAGUAAUUCCUUAAGUUUGGACGACCAGCGGCAUGGAAUCUAAUCACAGUUGGUGAGUGUAACUGGGAUUUUCAACAUGGAAACAUUGCCUUUGCGCGUUCGUCCCGAAACGAAAAAAAGAGAUGAUCGGUUUGCCUCCGAGGAUAUAAAUCUGUGAAAAAGUGCUAUAAUAAUCAUGAAAUAUAUAUCAAAUGCGGAUUAUUAAAUGGCCGGCUAUCCACAAAGUGCACCUGACAAAAUCAGCCGUUUAUAUAAGAGCUUCCAAUGAAUUGUGAAACUUUUGGCGUGUGUUUUGAGAAUUGAAAAUUUGAUCUUUGGCUCAUCGAUAAGAUACUGCUGGGCCGUGUGUAUAAAUUCCAACUGCCAAAGCAGCGCUCAAGUAACACUUGAGAAAGCGAAAGUCAACUUUGGAAGUUAAUUAACGAUCCGCUGAUUAGAUUAGAAUAUGCUUAUUAACUACUGCCCGCGAUACGACAAAGGCACCUCAAAAUUGUAUUUCCAAGAAAUCGCCAAACACACAUGAAGUGCAGUUUUCGUUCCGAGCAUAACAAUUUUACCCAUCGAUCUUAUCCAUCUGUUUGGCUAUCGAAGCUUGUGUAUCUCAUCGAAAGUUCAAUUCCUAGCUGGUGACAUUCUUUUCCAUUUGAAUUGCUGCUGAUGUGGAUGUGGCCCCCUCUUCGUGUCACUUUGAGGCCUGGCUGCUUCUUCCUCGUUUUCGUUAUCUUAAGUACACAUUCUGAGGUACAAACGUCAGUUGGCGAUAAGGCCACGAAAAAGAAAAAAACAGCAACACCACCCGAAGAAGACAUCAAAAAGCAGUCAAGUCAACAACAAACAGAAAGAGCCGAGGAGCGCAGGGUGGAAAUCGAGCAUUGGGUGGGGGAUCCAUCCGACUGCUCUAAAUGCAAUCUGUUUGCACAACACCGACCUGAACCCAUACCCAUACCCAUAUAUGGUAUAUGGUCUACCUAUGCCUAAGCUGGCCCGGAUUCGGGAAAUUUUCAGCAUUUUCACGCUAAACAAAUCAGGCAGAUGUCAAACAUUUAAUUAGGUGCACCGCAGCCGAGAAAAACCAGGGAAAUUGUGCAUUUCUUAUACACUAUAUUAUGGUAUAUAGACGGCAGAAAAUCGAGCGACUUACACAACUCAGCUGAGCUGCUUGGCGGCUUCGGUUUCUGCAUAUGAUACAGAUUGCCUAUCUAUGGAAUGGGCAUGUAAAAAAAUCAUAUAUACUCAGAUAUCUUACCGAGUGUGGUUAUUUCGUUGCUGGCACAGUAAGUUUUGCACUUUCCAUUAAAACGCGCUCCGUUCCCCAGCCAACCCGUGUCGCAAUUAUAAAGCAAUAAUUAUGCAUUAUACGAGAAACAUUGAACGAGAAGGGAAGCUAGAUCGUAAAGUGACGAACCAGAAAAGUGCGAAAAUAAAAAUGAGUAACAAAACGCGUCUAAUGAAAGGAAAAAAAAUACACCCAUAAAAUGUCGAGCGUCAGCGCCGAACAUGAAUUCAUCGUAAAUUACGGACAACAAGUGUGUGUACUAAAAUCGUAAAGUCGGCCUGAAAACAUAUAGUAUAUAUAGUACGUGGGCAAACAAAUGGACUGCAAAUUAAGCCCACUGUGAAUUGUUACCGUUCUGGUCCUCAAAUAUAACAGUGAACUUAGUGCCAUUGGAAUCGCCGGAGAAACCCAUGAUAUUUUUCGGAACAUGAUGACUAGUUUUAUCCAACUUCCAAUUUCAGAAUUAUGUUUAUCUCCUUGGUGUCACUUGGUACCAGUCUUCAACCAUUUUGUGAUAUCAACAUCUAAUUUUUAAAUGCUUGCGACAUUUCUAAUUUCGUUUGAAACACUUAAAAGAAACCCUUGUUUAUCAUUAUGAUUGUGAAAAUCCCAUAAAAUUAAAGAUAUAUUUAGUAUAUAUGAGCAGUUUGUACACCAGUGCUUCGCUUUGAAAUCAACGUAUAUACACACAUAUGUACAUAUGUAUAUCUAGCCUAGUUUGUGCACAAAUAGUUGCCUUGUUUACCAGCAGCAAACAUUAAAGCCUAAGCUCUUAUAAAAUAAGAAUAAACAAAUUCAGCCAAAUGAUUACGAAACAAUAAUUCCAAGUUGCCAUGGCUAAGUAAAUUAGGGUUAGUCAUAUACGAGUGUUUAUUUAGUGUCAACCAUUUUGAAAAUUUUGCCACCACCAAACCCAUCCAAAUCAUCCUAUUGGAUUUUAUAAAUAGUGAAAAAUAGUUCAUAGUUCAUUUUCAUAGUGACAAAAACAUGGCAACACAUUUACAUUUACAUACAGCUCCCAAAAGUUGGAAAACGAAAACAUAGGCAAACUUUAUCUUAUCGUUCAUGAUAUCGGGCAAGACAAGGCUAUAUGCUCGGCAUUAUCAUUUCUUUAUUUGCUCAAGUUUCAAGUGUGAAACCCUGACCCGGAGCCAAAAAACUAGCAAUCUGUUGAGUGAAAGUUUUUGCGAAUAUACCUGAGCAACGACCGAUUAGAUCUUGAAAAGACAUGGUAUCGGUAUUAAACAAUUGCAGGAAGAAAGGCAACCAUUUUGCAAUUCAUUUUGAAACCGAAUAAUGUUGACUACAGAAAUAAUUUAUGGUGGAUGGACUCCAUUUCACGGCUAAUCAACAGGGGUAUCAAUCAAAUUACUGGACGGAGACUCCUCAGCACCACUUGAGUGGUGCACGAGCCAUUUCAACGAGCGCCACUCGCUACUUCACUCAACUUUUGUACAGUCACGUAGUCAGGCACCCAGCUCGUACCUCCCACUGCCACCCACCAGCGCCACCUCCACGUUUACCGCAGACCCUCCCUGUGGAUCCCCACAACUCGACGAGCAAACAACCCUAGCAAUAAACAAAAACUGUUUUGCCACAUGAAAUGACUUUCAGAUUUUGUUGCUGUUGUCGUUUUGUAACGCGUGACUCCCAUAAAAAAAACAAGAACAACAACGGCAACCAGCGCACUGAAAGUUUAUUAAAAAAGAAAUAGAGCGAAAAAUAUAAAUAGAGGGAGAGGGCGAGGGCCAGGGAGUGACAGAGACAGAACGCAGGGAACUCAGCAAUGCGACGUUAUCUUAUCACUGAAAAUGUCGCUUUCGUAAAUGGCGGCGCACAAAAUAAUAUAACACACACUUACUCCACCCCAACGUACAUAUAUGUAUGUAGGUAUGUAUGAAUGUACAUCCCCCACACAUAUGUAUGUACAUAUGCAAAACCACUCUCUGCUAUAUUUUAUUUUCCUCUGUAAUUGUUCAAUUCUAGAGUGGCUCUGCGUAGAGGACACCCACUUUACAUAUUUCCUAAAAAUCAGAAAAUAUAUUAAAAUUUAUCUGAAGUGCCCAAUAUUCGAAAAA
rnacentral:sRNA from 1 species